rnacentral:rRNA from 1 species
CCUACGGGUGGCAGCAGUGGGGAAUAUUGGGCAAUGGGCGCAAGCCUGACCCAGCAACGCCGCGUGAAGGAAGAAGGCUUUCGGGUUGUAAACUUCUUUUCUCAGGGACGAAGCAAGUGACGGUACCUGAGGAAAAAGCAUCGGCUAACUCCGUGCCAGCAGCCGCGGUAAUACGGAGGAUGCGAGCGUUAUCCGGAUUUAUUGGGUUUAAAGGGUGCGUAGGCGGACAGUCAAGUCAGCGGUAAAAAUGCGGUGCUCAACGCCGUACAGCCGUUGAAACUGGCAGUCUUGAGUGGGCGAGAAGUAUGCGGAAUGCGUGGUGUAGCGGUGAAAUGCAUAGAUAUCACGCAGAACUCCGAUUGCGAAGGCAGCAUACCGGCGCCCUACUGACGCUGAGGCACGAAAGCGUGGGUAUCGAACAGGAUUAGAUACCCGGGUAGUC